rnacentral:rRNA from 1 species
AGCGAACGCUGGCGGCAGGCCUAACACAUGCAAGUCGAACGAACCGUUCGGGGUUAGUGGCGGACGGGUGAGGAACACGUGGGAAGGUGCCCUUAGGUUCGGAAUAACUCAGGGAAACUGGUGCUAAUACCGAAUGUGCCCUUCGGGGGGAAGAUUAGUUGCCUUUAGAGGGGCCCGCGUCUGAUUAGCUCGUUGAGUGUGGUAAUGGCUCAUCAAGGCGGCAUUCAGUAGCUGGUCUGAGAGGCGGAUCCCCCACAUUGGGGCUGUGACACGGCCCAAACUCCUACGGGAAGCGGCAGUGCGGAAUCUUGCGCCAUGGGCGAAAGGCUGACGCAGCCAUGCCCCGUGAAUGCUGAUGGUAUUAGGAUAGUAAUAUUCUUUCACCUGUGACGAUAAUGACGGUACCCGGAGAAGAAGCCCCGGCUAACUUCGUG